rnacentral:tRNA from 1 species
GGGUCUGUAGCUCAGUUUGGUUAGAGCGCCUGCUUGACACGCAGGAGGUCUGCGGUUCGAGCCCGCACAGACCCACCA